CCAAUAUUCAUGGAAUGACGGUGUUAUUAUUGUUGCUUUUGCCGGUACUUUAAUUUAUUUAUUUUUUGCGUUAACUCUCCGGUUCUCUGCGAAAAGACCAUAGUAAUCUGAAAUUCGCCCGUGAUGUAGGGAUAAUUUGGUUAAAAAUUGUUUCAUUCAGUAAUUGAACUCGAACUCUCUCAAACGAUUUGUCCUUAAUGAAACUCAUUUACCACUUAAACUCAAUUGCUUAGUUUUUAUAGUUGCUUUGCCGGUGCUUUAGGGAAAUCAAAAUAUUUUCUUGAAGAGGUAUAGUAAAUAUUUUUGAGGGAAGGUAUAAUAAAUAAUUU
rnacentral:lncRNA from 1 species